UACGGGGGGAGCAAGCGUUGUUCGGAUUUACUGGGCGUAAAGGGCGCGUAGGCGGCGUGUUAAGUCAGCUGUGAAAUCUCCAAGCUCAACUUGGAACGGCCAGCUGAUACUGAUGUGCUAGAGUGCAGAAGGGGCAAUCGGAAUUUCUUGGUGUAGCGGUGAAAUGCGUAGAUAUCAAGAGGAACACCUGAGGUGAAGACGGGUUGCUGGGCUGACACUGACGCUGAGGCGCGAAAGCCAGGGGAGCAAACGGG
rnacentral:rRNA from 1 species